UUUGAUCCUGGCUCAGGAUGAACGCUGGCGGUAUGCUUAACACAUGCAAGUCGAACGCGUUUCAGAACUCUCGGGUUUUGUUAUGAGUGGCGGACGGGUGAGUAACGCGUAAGAAUCUACCUUUAGGAGGGGGGCAACAGUUGGAAACGACUGCUAAUUCCCCAUAAGCUGAGGAGUGAAACGAUGAAAUUCGCCUAGAGAUGAGCUUGCGUCUGAUUAGCUAGUUGGUGGGGUAAUGGCUUACCAAGGCGAUGAUCAGUAGCUGGUCUGAGAGGAUGAUCAGCCACACUGGGACUGAGACACGGCCCAGACUCCUACGGGAGGCAGCAGUGAGGAAUUUUCCGCAAUGGGCGAAAGCCUGACGGAGCAAUACCGCGUGGAGGACGACGGCCUGUGGGUCUUAAACUCCUUUUCUUAGAGAAGAAGAUCUGACGGUAUCUAAGGAAUAAGCAUCGGCUAACUCUGUGCCAGCAGCCGCGGUAAUACUGGGGAUGCAAGCGUUAUCCGGAAUGAUUGGGCGUAAAGCGUCUGUAGGUGGCUUCGCAAGUCGGCUGUC
rnacentral:rRNA from 1 species